GCUGUCGUGGCUCAGGGGUAGAGCACUUGCUUGGUAAGUAAGAGGCCGUGGGUUCAAAUCCCACCGUCAGCACCA
rnacentral:tRNA from 4 species